UACGGAGGAUGCAAGCGUUAUCCGGAAUGAUUGGGCGUAAAGCGUCCGCAGGUGGCUGUGUAAGUCUGCUGUCAAAGAGCGAAGCUCAACUUCGUAAAGGCAGUGGAAACUACACGGCUAGAGUGCGUUCGGGGCAGAGGGAAUUCCUGGUGUAGCGGUGAAAUGCGUAGAGAUCCGGAGGAAUACCAGUGGCGAAGGCGGCACGCUGGGCCAUAACUGACGCUAAGACUCGAAAGCAUGGGUAGCGAACGGG
rnacentral:rRNA from 1 species